ensembl:snoRNA
CUGGACAUGAUGAGGAACUUGAAGUUUGAUCUUAACCAUGACUGACUGUGUGUUCAUACUGUCUGAUCCGG